rnacentral:rRNA from 1 species
UACAGGGGGUGCAAACGUUGCUCGGAAUUAUUGGGCGUAAAGCGCGCGUAGGCGGCCGCUUAAGUCGGAUGUGAAAGCCCCUGGCUCAACUGGGGAAGUGCACCCGAAACUGAGUGGCUUGAGUACUAAAGAGGGUCGCGGAAUUCCCGGUGUAGAGGUGAAAUUCGUAGAUAUUGGGAAGAACACCGGUGGCGAAGGCGGCGACCUGGUCCAUUACUGACGCUGAGGCGCGACAGCGUGGGGAGCAAACAGG